rnacentral:tRNA from 1 species
CCCUGGGUGGCUCAGUCGGUUGAGCGUCCGACUUCGGCUCUGGUCAUGAUCUCACAGUCUGUGGGUUCGAGCCCCACGUCAGGCU